GCCAAAUAACUAAAACAAAUUGACAACCGUGCCGAAAAACGUAUAUAUUAUUUUUAUUUUGCCUGUUGUACUUUUCUUGAGCAAUUAUAUUUCUUUAAAUGAAAGUUUCACUUACCUUUUCCAACCACUUACCAUACCCUUUUACAACUUGAGCGUGCGGAAGAACGUUGAAAAAACCUGGUACUACCAUUUUCAAGCCAGACGUUUGGAUUUUCUGAAAAGAUUAAACAUAGUUUACCGUUUCUUCAAGUGUUAGCUGCCUUGUUGCUGUGCGUUGGUCGUCAUUCAAUCAAUCAGUCAAUCAAUUAGAUACUUAGUCUGGGCACAUAUCAAGAAUCAGCUGAGUUUGGAUCUCUCCUCCCCUUUGGUCGUAUAGCCUGUACCUUGAAUUGACUGAAAUAAUGUUCGCAUCAUUGAUUACUUAUAAAAUCACAAUUUCGCAACGCUUAGCUAAUUAUCCGAGACUAAAAACAGAUAUAAGAGGAGCACGAAAACCAAAUCAACAUUACAAAGUGAUUUUAAUGUAAUUCGUGAUUUCGCAUAAUUGUAAAGUUAAUAAUUAAAAUUUGUUUGCACAA